rnacentral:tRNA from 1 species
GCGUGUAGCUCAGAUGGUAGAGCACUUGACUUUUAAUCAAGUUGUCCGGGGUUCGAUUCCCCGCA